GAAUAGCCGCUGAGCGGGGAGGAGAGAGGGACAGAGAGCCUGCUUCUUUAAAGGAGCAAAGCGGUUGGUUCCUUUAAAGCAAGCAGGCUCUCUGUCCCUCUCUCCUCCCCACUCAGCUCGCUACAU